rnacentral:rRNA from 1 species
UGCCAAGGGCAUUGCUGGGUAGCUAUGUAGGGAAGGGAUAAACGCUGAAAGCAUCUAAGUGUGAAGCCCACCUCAAGAUGAGAUUUCCCAUUUCUUUAAGAAAGUAAGAUUCCUGAGAGAUGAUCAGGUAGAUAGGUCAGGAGUGGAAGUACAGUGAUGUAUGGAGCGGACUGAUACUAAUCGAUCGAGGACUUAACCAAU